rnacentral:rRNA from 1 species
UACGGAGGAUGCGAGCGUUAUCCGGAUUUAUUGGGUUUAAAGGGUGCGUAGGCGGACGCUUAAGUCAGCGGUAAAAUUGCGGGGCUCAACCUCGUCGAGCCGUUGAAACUGGGUGCCUUGAGUGGGCGAGAAGUACGCGGAAUGCGCGGUGUAGCGGUGAAAUGCAUAGAUAUCGCGCAGAACUCCGGUUGCGAAGGCAGCGUACCGGCGCCAGACUGACGCUGAGGCACGAAAGCGUGGGGAUCGAACAGG